AUGAAUCAAAAAAAAUGGAGGAGAGAUGGUGGGAGGAAAUAUAAAAAAAACACGUUUUCGAAUGAAAAUUUUAGUCGUACAUCUAUACAUGAUGGUGAUAAUGUAGACACUAUAGAUGAAAGAGGCGAUAUAGGUGAUGGAGAAGAUAAUGUUGAUUUGGGUAUGGGACCUGAUAUAAGUACAAACAAUUGUAACAAUAUAGAUAAUACUAUUAUUGAUAGUAUUUAUAAUGAAGAAUGGUUUAUCAACUGUAUUAGUAAUUUGUUUUUAUUAAACACAGCUGAUUUAUAUAUAUUACGUUUUUAUAUUCAACAUUUUGCUAGUGAAAUAGAAAAAGAAAAAAUAGAUGUUAUACAACUUUUACAAGUAAUAUAUUAUUAUUUACAUUUAAGUAAAUUAAAUGAAAAUUUUUAUUAUAAUAGAAAAUAUUAUAUAAAUUAUAUUGAGAAUAAAGAAAAUGAUACUUUUGAACGUCAACAUUUGUAUUGUACAUGUGGUAAAAGUAAAAAAAAUCAGAUUGAAUUAGAACAAGAGAGACAAGAACAAUUUAUUGAAACAAAUAUAUUCGAUACAUAUUAUUGUGAUAAAUGUUUGUAUUAUAAAGUGAUACAUGAUGAUAGUAAUAAUAAAACAAAAGAAAAUGAAACAGAAGAAGAAAUAUUAAUAAUAAAUGAAGAUAAUAUAAAUGAAAAUUAUACAUAUAUAUGUAAUAUAAAAAAUUUAUUAAUUAUUUGUAAACAACUUGAUAUUAUAGAAACAUAUCAAAUAGAAAAAAUUAUUGAAUGCUGUUCUAAUAUUUUAUUAAAAGCUCCAUUAAGAGAAAAUAUAGUAAAAUGUAUGUUAAACAAUACAGGUGUUAAUUAUUAUAAAUUACAAAAAGGACAUAUUACAUGUGCAUAUUGGUUAGUUAACAGUUAUAUUUAUUCUUGUUUAGAUUUAUUAAAACAUAUGAUUUAUUUGAAAAAUAAAAAUUUAAAUAUAAUAGAUAUAGAAAUGAGUUUUACAAAUCAAAUAUUGACUAUUAUAUCUGAUAUAAAAGAACCGUUUGAGACUAAUUGUGAUGAUAAUAAUGUUAUGUUUACGAAUAAUAAUAUAAUCAGAUUUGAAGAAAAAGAAAAUAAACAAGAUGAAAAACAAGAUGAAAAACGAGAUGAAAAACAAGAUGAAAAACGAGAUGAAAAACAAGAUGAAAAACGAGAUGAAAAACAAGAUGAAGAUUUAAGUCCUAACCAUAAACAGAGACAGAAACAGAAAGAGUAUGACCAAAAUAAUAUGGAUGGGAUUGGUAAUAUGGAUAAAUCACGACGUGGAAGUAUUUUUAAUGAAGAUAAUAAAAAAACAAAUAUAUUAGGAAGUACAUUUAAUGCUAUACUAAAUGUAGAAAAUGAUUCAAUUUUUGAUAUAAUAAGAAAAAAAAAUUUGAAUACUCUAUCAAUUGAACAUUUAUUGUUGUUAUGUAAAAAGAUGCAUCACAAGUUGGAUGUGACUGAAGCAAAAAUAAAAGAUUUAAGCGAUAUGGAGAGAGAAAAAAAAUUGAAAUGGAAAAAGAAAGCCCUAAAAAAGAAGAUACUGGCAUGGGUAUUGGUAUGGGUGGUGUUAGUGGAAAUGGCGAUUCCACAGAUGAAAACUUACUUUAUGGUCAACAAAUUAAAAUGA
rnacentral:lncRNA from 1 species